UACAGAGGGUGCAAGCGUUGUUCGGAAUUAUUGGGCGUAAAGCGCGUGUAGGCGGCUUUGCAAGUCGGGUGUGAAAGCCCUCAGCUCAACUGAGGAAGUGCGCCCGGAACUGCAGAGCUUGAGUACCGGAGAGGAUGGUGGAAUUCCCCAAGUAGAGGUGAAAUUCGUAGAUAUGGGGAGGAACACCGGUGGCGAAGGCGACCAUCUGGACGGAUACUGACGCUGAGACGCGAAAGCGUGGGUAGCAAACAGG
rnacentral:rRNA from 1 species